AACGUGCCCAAUCGUGGGGGAUAACGCAGCGAAAGCUGUGCUAAUACCGCAUAAGAUCUACGGAUGAAAGCAGGGGACCCGCAAGGGCCUUGCGCGAAUGGAGCGGCCGAUGGCAGAUUAGGUAGUUGGUGAGGUAAAGGCUCACCAAGCCUUCGAUCUGUAGCUGGUCUGAGAGGACGACCAGCCACACUGGGACUGAGACACGGCCCAGACUCCUACGGGAGGCAGCAGUGGGGAAUUUUGGACAAUGGGCGAAAGCCUGAUCCAGCCAUGCCGCGUGCAG
rnacentral:rRNA from 1 species